UGAAAUGCGAAAAGUAAUGCGAUUUGCAUGAAUCUGUGAGUCAUCAAGUCUUUGAACGCACCUUGCACCGUAUGAGCAAUUGUACGGUAUACCUGUUUGAGAAUCGUUUCAACCCUCUCUCACACUCUUUUGUGUGAGGGGACUUGUCAGCUGUGUCUGUUGCACUCUGAUCAAAUCUAGUAGGUUGUUUGCUAGGCUGGUGGCCUGGGACACUGUGUGCUAGAGACCAAAUCCUACAUUGUAGGACUUGUCUUCUCACGGUGCGUCCUAGGUCAUUCCAAAGCUGGUCUGGCCGCAUCCUUUAACCGACCGCAAGGUCAACAUUCUUUUCUUUGAUCUCAAAUCAGGUAAGGCUACCCGCUGAACUUAA
rnacentral:misc_RNA from 1 species